rnacentral:tmRNA from 1 species
GGGGCUGAUUUUAGCUCGACAGUGGACCUUAACAAUCUGCAAGGCAAGUCGGUUAUCACCGUUAUAGAUACCUUAAACAGAUGCAAAAACAUCUAACCGCGAAAGCCUAAUAGCGGACUUAGCUGCAAAGCUAUUUCCUCAAAAAGCUUUUGCACUAGCUGCCUAAUUUACUGGUAGCGAUCUUUUUACCAGACGCCAGAUACGGCAAUAAGAUCUCAUAUAUAUCUGGAUGCCAACCAUAGUGCUAUUUGAGCUAUGGUUGUAAGACUUUCAAAUUGCUGCUCACGACUAUUUUGUUUAUUUAGCCAGUCGUGGCCUAAGACCAUUAAAUAAACUAUGCUUGUAGAAUUGCAGUGUCGUUAACCGCUGGACGCGGGAGCAUUACCCGCCAGCUCCACCA